GCUGGGUUGGGUGGCACCAACUUGUAACGGAACGCUUCUGUCCGGGUAGUGAGGUACGAGGGCUGUGACACGUGUGGUGGCGACACUAUCCACAGGGUGUAGAAGGCGCGCCCAUCUCAAACCAGGAGUCGACAUCGUGGUGAGCUCGUAAGGGUUCACACCAAGGUCACUAAGGAACCGUGCACCGCCCCAGACUGGAUAACAGAGCAGGGAAAAACCUUCGCUCCUGGUAGUGGGAGAAUCACGUGCCAGGGAUCAAAUCUAUGAUAGGAGACGAAAACGUUAUACCAUGAACAAUAUCAUAAUCAGUU
rnacentral:SRP_RNA from 1 species